AUGAGAGUUCAUGGAGAUAGGAAGAACAUCUCACUAAAUAUUAUUGGACUAACAGAGUCAGAUUCAGGUCUUUAUUUCUGUGGAAAAGGACAUACAUUUAAUUCAAUCUUGUACUUCGACAAACCCAUCAGACUAGUGAUGGAGGACAAGCUGACAGACAGAGAAGACAAAGUUCAGUCCGUCACAGAUCUGCCAGAGAUCACAGGUGAGAGCAGAAAUCAUUCUUACUCGUAUUUUAUUUUAUUUCAGGAAAUUAUUUAUUUUAUUUUUUACAUUAUUUUUAUUUCAGGAGUCAAGUGCAUUAGUGUAUUUGUUAUAGGUUAUGCAAAUUUUAAUAAUCUAAAGAUCAUUUUGUCCAAUGGAAAUAUUACAUGGAUGUUCUUCA
rnacentral:lncRNA from 1 species